AGAGUUUGAUCCUGGCUCAGAAUAAGCGCUGGCGGCGUGCCUAACACAUGCAAGUCGAGCGAGAAAGUCUCUUCGGAGGCGAGUACAGCGGCGGACGGGUGAGUAACACGUAAGAAUUUACCCUUUAGUGAAGGAUACCUCUGAGAAAUCAGGGUUAAUACUGCAUACGUUUCUACGGAAAGAAAGGUGGCCUCUUUGCUGCCGCUAAAGGAUAAGCUUGCGGGCUAUUAGCUUGUUGGUGAGGUAAAGGCUCACCAAGGCGAUGAUGGCUAGCCGGCCUGAGAGGGUGUACGGCCACAUUGGAACUUGGACACGGUCCGGACUCCUACGGGAGGCAGCAGUGAGGAAUAUUGCGCAAUGGGCGAAAGCCUGACGCAGCGACGCCGCGUGGGGGAUGAAGGUCUUCGGAUCGUAAACUCCUGUUAAGUGGGAAGAAAGAGCUAUCUUUAACAGAGAUAGCAGAUGACGGUACCAUUAGAGAAAGCACCGGCUAACUUCGUGCCAGCAGCCGCGGUAAUACGAGGGGUGCAAGCGUUAUUCGGAAUCAUUGGGUGUAAAGGGUGCGUAGACGGCAUAUUAAGUUGGUUGUUAAAUUCUCCGGCCUAACCGGAGGUCAGCGAUCAAAACUGAUAAGCUAGAGGGUGGAAGAGAGAAGUGGAAUCCUCGGAGUAGCGGUAAAAUGCGUAGAUCUCGAGAGGAACACCAAUGGCGAAGGCAGCUUCUUGGUCCACACCUGACGUUGAGGCACGAAAGCGUGGGUAGCAAACAGGAUUAGAUACCCUGGUAGUCCACGCCGUAAACGAUGAUCACUAGACGUCAGUUCUGCUUGCAGAAUUGGUGUCGCAGCUAACGCGUUAAGUGAUCCGCCUGGGGACUACGAUCGCAAGAUUAAAACUCAAAGGAAUUGACGGGGGCCCGCACAAGCGGUGGAACAUGUGGUUUAAUUCGACAAUCCGCGAGGAACCUUACCUAGACUUGACAUGCUUCUGACAGCUGUGGAAACACAGUCUUUCAUAGUUUACUAUGGACAGUUGCACAGGUGCUGCAUGGUUGUCGUCAGCUCGUGUCGUGAGAUGUUGGGUUAAGUCCUUUAACGAGCGCAACUCCUGCCGAUAGUUGCCAUCCUCUGGAGCACUCUAUCGGGACUGCCUGGGAAACCAGGAGGAAGGUGGGAAUGACGUCAAAUCAUCAUGGUCCUUAUGUCUAGGGCUACACACGUGUUACAAUGGCCGGUACAAUGGGCAGCAAUCCCGCGAGGGGGAGCGAAUCUCAAAAAGCCGGUCUAAGUUCGGAUUGCAGUCUGCAACUCGACUGCAUGAAGUUGAAAUCGCUAGUAAUCGCGUAUCAGCAACGACGCGGUGAAUACGUUCACGGGCCUUGUACACACCGCCCGUCACACCACGAAAGCUGUUUGUACCCGAAGUCAUCUUAGCCAACCCUCUGGGAGGCGGGUGCCUAAGGUAUGAGGAGUGAUUGGGGUGAAGUCGUAACAAGGUA
rnacentral:rRNA from 1 species